rnacentral:rRNA from 1 species
AGCCUUUGGAAAGGAUUAAAGGUUAUACCUGCCCAAUGUUAUAUUAAUGGCCGCGGUACUUUGACCGUGCUAAGGUAGCACAAUCAAUUGGCCCUUAAUUAGGGUCAGGUAUGAAUGGAGUUACGGGGCUUAGCUGUCUCUAGACUAUUUAAUUGAAGUUGCUAUAUAGGUGAAAAAGCCUGUAUUAAGAAAAAAGACGAGAAGACCCUUAGAGUUUUACUUAAAAAAGAGUUAUUUCUUCACUAGUUUUGUUGGGGCAACAUAGGAGAAGAACUAAACCUCCUAAAGGGGAUAUAAACCGAUGUUUUUAAAUGUGAAUAAACUACCUUAGGGAUAACAGCAUAAUUUUAAAAAUAAGUUUGUGACCUCGAUGUUGGACUAGGAAACUUAAGGGCUAGCCGCCUUUUGGUAAGGUUCUGUUCGAACUAUAAUUCCU